GGAGAAAGUGGGGGAUCUUCGGACCUCACGCUAUCAGAUGAGCCUAGGUCGGAUUAGCUAGUUGGUGGGGUAAAGGCCUACCAAGGCGACGAUCCGUAACUGGUCUGAGAGGAUGAUCAGUCACACUGGAACUGAGACACGGUCCAGACUCCUACGGGAGGCAGCAGUGGGGAAUAUUGGACAAUGGGCGAAAGCCUGAUCCAGCCAUGCCGCGUGUGUGAAGAAGGUCUUCGGAUUGUAAAGCACUUUAAGUUGGGAGGAAGGGCAGUAAGUUAAUACCUUGCUGUUUUGACGUUACCAACAGAAUAAGCACCGGCUAACUUCGUGCCAGCAGCCGCGGUAAUACGAAGGGUGCAAGCGUUAAUCGGAAUUACUGGGCGUAAAGCGCGCGUAGGUGGUUCAGCAAGUUGGAUGUGAAAUCCCCGGGCUCAACCUGGGAACUGCAUCCAAAACUACUGAGCUAGAGUACGGUAGAGGGUGGUGGAAUUUCCUGUGUAGCGGUGAAAUGCGUAGAUAUAGGAAGGAACACCAGUGGCGAAGGCGACCACCUGGACUGAUACUGACACUGAGGUGCGAAAGCGUGGGGAGCAAACAGGAUUAGAUAUCCUGGUAGUCCACGCCGUAAACGAUGUCGACUAGCC
rnacentral:rRNA from 1 species